rnacentral:tRNA from 1 species
UCUCUGGCAGUCCAGUGGUUAGGACUUUGCACUUCCACUGCCGAGGACCUGGGUUCAAUCCCUUGUUGGGGAA